rnacentral:lncRNA from 1 species
UGGUGGUUGUCGGUACGGAUGUUGCGGUGGCUGGUUUUUUGGACGGUGCAACUACUGUUGUCGUAGUCCACAAGCCGAGGAGACCGUGGAAACUGAAGCUGUUGAUGCCAACGUUGUUGAACCUCAGCAGGGGGGUCGUGGUGGCUGUAGAUACGGAUGUUGCGGAUCCUGGCGUUAUGGACGGUGCAGCUACUGUUGUCGCAGUCCACAAACCGAGACCGUGGAAACCGAAGCUGUUGAUGCCAACGUUGUUGAACCUCAGCAGGGGGGUCGUGGUGGCUGUAGAUACGGAUGUUGCGGAUCCUGGCGUUAUGGAAGGUGCAGCUACUGUUGUCGCAAUCCACAAACCGAGACCGUGGAAACCGAAGCUGUUGAUGCCAACGUUGUUGAACCUCAGCAGGGGGGUCGUGGUGGCUGUAGAUACGGAUGUUGCGGAUCCUGGCGUUAUGGACGGUGCAGCUACUGUUGCCGAGGUGCUCAAGCGGAGUCUGAAGGGCAGAAAAAGGAAGAAGCUAAGCCAUGAAUGGUGUGUAAAACAAACUCUAUGUUUGUAUGCAUGGAUGCAUGGUUUAUAUUACUGUUUCGUACGUAUGUCAAAAUAAGGAAAAAGUGUUGCUAUAAAGUCUAUAGCUCAAUAAAAAAAUGUCGUAGGUUCAUAUAAUAUGUGUUUUGUUAUGUAGUGUUUUCGUCGUGAAGAUUGUAAUAAUAACUACUGUUUAAAUACUAAAUCUUGGAUUGCAAUAUUUAAAUUAUAAUAAUGAAAAAGCAUGUGCCUAGGUCAAUGAAAACCACAUAGGUUUUAUGGUAUCACGUAGAUUUGUGAUCCUAAACAUGCAUUAUGAAAGACGACUUGACAUAUAAAAUAAAACUAAAGCGUUGGUUAGAAUAUCUUUAUUUAUUCUGUUUCAUUUUAAUGAUGUUUAAAGUUGAUGCAUAUUUAUUAAAAAUUCAACUUUGAUAAAUUUAUUUUAAUUUUAUAAAAGUAACAUCAAAUAAAAUUAGUAAACUAAUAAAAAUCUACAAUACUAUAUAAUUGGUCAUAAAUACAAAAAACAUUAAAUUUUUAUUUAAAACAAUGAGAACAUUACUUAUUUUGCACAAAAAAAUUCUUAAACAUCAAAUAAAUUGAAAUGUAGAAAGUAUCAUUAUAUGUUGUAUGAAUAACAAUUGAAGAUUUGUUUAGAUUUUAUACACUCCAGUGUAGGGAGUAUUCACCGAUCCAACCCAUAGAGUUCCAUCACGCUCCUCCACCUCACUUAUAGAGAUCCACUUAUUUCCAAUUGUACCCUGGAAAACCUCCGAUAUUACGCCACUACCUUCGCUCAACCUCACGGCCAUCCCGUUCCCUUUGUACUUAGCCCAAUACGAAUGAACUUUCAUCCAGUCCACCGGCAAGCCCAAAGCGGCGCGUCCUAGCCAGGCAUUCGACAUGGCGAACUUUGUCAGCUUUGAGUGUUUUGUAUUCAGGCCUACCCAAAAUCCACCACGUGGACACCUCUUUAUGUUGUCGGGGAACCCAGGGAGCCCCUCCGCGAAAAUCUCAUACUUCUCGUGAGAUUUAGAAACCGACCUGUCGUUGAGCCAGUAGCGUAGGACUCGAGAUGUGGCAGUCUCUGCCACGAGAAGGUAAUCCCCGUUUUGGCUCAUAACAACGCCGUUUGCGAACGCAAGGUUGCUUAGAAGAGUUGUCACUUGGUUCGUAUUUGGAUCGUAUUUCAUCAAUCUACCGGUUCUGUCCCCACUCAUUAUUGCACCUAUAUAAUUCCUGAAAAAAUUAAACAAUUUACGCUCUUAUAUGUAAGAUGAAUCAUGAAUGAUCGAAUAUUUGCAGAAUUUUAAGUUAUAAAAAAAAAAAAAAGGAAAAAGAUAUUUGCAGAAUUUUACCUUCGUUGAUAAACCGAACUACUAUCAGUGAAGUAGACAACUCCAGUCCGUGGAUCUAUUUCCACAGCGUUGGUAAACCUAAGGGGCUUAUCCAGCUGACGUGUAGAUACUUGAUUGGCUAAACCACCUUCUCGACCAACUUUAAGAAGUCCCAUAUAAGCAUCGGCAAUAUAAAGAUCACCAGUGGAUUUUUCAAAGGCCAGGCCCAAUGGUCGACCACACUCAUGUUCCGUUCGUUGGUGCUCGUGCGGGCCCUCGCAACCUUCUCUGCAUUUAAUUAAAACGUUAAAUACAAUAGUCAUCCAAGUGUUAAGGAACCCUAAGUGUGAACAAUGAACAGAUCCCAUCAUAAGUAACUAUUUUCAUAACUAUAACUAUUCUUUUAUAUCAAGGCUACCAUCAACGCUGGGUUUAAUGAGUUGUUUAAUUUUUUUUUUUUUUUUUGCUAAAUUGUAAAUAUCAUAGAUGAAAGGAAAAUUUUACAAAGUAAAGACCUUAGUUCUGCACCAUCUUGGCAAAAAAGAAUAAAAACAAGAUGAGACAAAAGAAAUAAACACCAACAAAAGAUAGGUAAGCUAGUUUUAUCUCAAUCAAAAGAUCAUGAGAGGCUUGAAGCGCUUGUUGUGUCUCCUGGAGGAAAUGAUGUUUCUGAUCUCCCUGUCUAUACCAUGAAACACAAUAAGACCUUAGUUGUUUAAUUUUCUUUACAUGAUUGUUGUGAUAAUGAGAUAAUGAUAUGUAAUAUUUAGAUAAUGAUGUAAAUAUUAGAGGGUUUAUCUCUAAUAUAGUCGGCUAAGUAGAUAAGGCCAAAGUCGAGUUGUAUAUAAAGAGCUCCAAGCUCACGAUCAAUAACACAAAAUAUUCAGCAUUACUUUACUUUACAUGGUAUCAGAGCAUAGAUCCAACUAAAGAUUUAUACUCGUUUUUUUCUUCUUUUCAUAACUUAUCUCUCUUUGUGAUCAUCAUCUACGAUCAUGGGAGACGACAAGGUAGUUGUGGCUGGCGUGACCGGCGAAAAGGGAGCAAGUUCUCCUUAUUCAAUCUUUGCUUCUGAUAAUCCAGGAGCUUUGAUCACCUCUGUUCAGUUGAAAGGUGAAAAUUAUAACGAGUGGGCUACGAAGAUGUUGAACGCACUUCAAGCCAAAAGGAAGGCAGGUUUCGUUGAUGGUACGUUGCAGAAGCCGCCUGAGGGACACGUAGACUUGGAAAGUUGGCUUAGUGUCAAUUCUAUGAUUGUCGGUUGGCUGAGGACGUCGAUCGAACCAAAAGUAAGGUCGACCGUGACCUUUAUUACUGACGCACACAAGCUUUGGGAGAAUCUAAGAGAAAGGUUCUCAGUGGGGAAUAAGGUGCGAGUUCAUCAGUUGAUGGCAAAGCUUGCCUCGUGUAGGCAAGAUGGAGACGCGGUGAUCGAUUACUAUGGGCGACUUGCGAAGAUGUGGGAGGAGUUGCAAACAUAUCAACCACCACCUACGUGUACCUGAGAUGCAGCAGCUCUUUACGAGAAGGAAAGAGAGGAUGAACGUGUUCAUCAAUUUGUUAUGGGGCUAGAUGAAUCACGUUUUGGGCAUGUUGUUACGGCCAUAAUCGAAGCAGACGCUCUACCGGAUCUUGGAAAGGCACACAACAAGAUAGUUAGAGAGGAGGAUCGCUUGAAUUCAGCAAAGACACGGGAACAACAGCAAGAUGCCGUUGGUUUUGUGUCUCGGCGUGAAAAUAGUAAUGGUGAUUUGAGUGGAGGACGUGGAGGAGUGCGUGAUGAGUUUGGUUCAUCAACGUCAAACUCACAAAACAGAGGAAAAGAUAGAAGUUGCUCAAAUUGCGGUAGAACCGGUCACGAUAAGAACACAUGUUGGCAGUUGAUCGGCUAUCCUGAGUGGUUUACAGAACGAGGAGGACGAGGAACUCGUGGUACAAGUAGAGGAGGAGGACGCAGUGGAGCAAGCAGAGGAAGGGGUCAGUCUAACGCUGCUUACGCUACCAGUGCCAAUCCCGGUGCAACAAUUCCUGAGCUUACCGCAGAGCAAUGGAGAGCUAUAAGUCAGAUACUCCAGGAGAAGCCCAGUGGUAGUUCAGAUAAAAUGUCUGGUAAGAAAUUGGGAGAUGUGAUACUUGAUACAGGAGCAUCGCACCAUAUGACUGGUGAUAUCAAUCUACUUAUUAAUCUUGAAGAUAUCUCUUCAUGUAAGAUCGGAUUUGCUGAUGGAAGUAGUACGGUUGCAAAGAAGAUAGGCGUGUUGCCUUUGUCCGACCGUAUCUCGUUAUAUGGAGUUUUAUACGUACCAGACUUGAAUUACUCAUUGAUCUCUGUCUCGAAACUCCUCAAGCAAUCAAAUUGUUUUGCGUUUUUCACAGAUACGUUGUGUGUUUUGCAGGACCGGUGUUCGAGGACGCUGAUUGGAGCAGGUGAGGAGCGUGAUGGGGUGUACUAUUUCACGGAUGCUAAAGCUGCUCGUGUCAACAAAGCUGCGAAGGUCGAGGAUAAGGUUUUGUGGCAUCAGCAACUCGGACAUCCAGGGUUUUCAGUUUAAUCUUCUUUAUCUGUGUUUUCUGGUGUUAAAGAUUCUGCAAGUUUAGAUUCAUGUGAGGUCUGUUUUAAGGCUAAGCAAGCAAGAGAUUUGUUUCCCGAAAGUUUAAUAAAACUAAAGCAUGUUUUGAGUUGAUUCAUAUUGAUGUCUGGGGGCCAUAUCGAGUUCAGGCCUCUAACGGAGCUUCAUAUUUUUUAACCGUGGUAGACGACUAUUCACGUACUGUAUGGACCUAUUUGCUUCUCGAGAAAUCAGAAGUUAAAGAAGUGGUGCAGAAAUUUUACGCUUAUGCAGAGACACAGUUUGGAAAGCGAAUCAAGAAGGUUCAAAGUGAUAAUGGCACAGAGUUUGUGUGCCUUGGCUCAUUUUUCAAGUCAAAAGGGAUAAUACAUCAAACUUCAUGUGUGGGAACGCCGCAGCAGAACGGUAGAGUAGAAAGGAAACAUCGUCAUUUGUUAAACGUAGCGAGAUCAUUGAUGUUUCAGGCGAAGAUGCCAAUCAAGUUCUGGGGGGAAGCUGUGCUUACAGCGGCUCAUGUCAUUAAUCUUACUCCAACCAGAAUACUGAAAGGAAAGUGUCCUCAUGAGGUGUUGUUCGGGUCCACUCCAUCGUACUCGAAGCUACGAGUGUUUGGCUCUUUGUGCUUUGCACAUAAGCAACUACGCGACAAGAACAAGUUUGUUCCUCGCAGUAGAAAGUGUGUGUUUGUCGGAUAUCCUUUCGGGAAAAAGGGUUGGAAGUUAUAUGAUUUGGAAACCGGUGAGUUUUUUGUGUCUCGGGAUGUAGUUUUCAGAGAGGAAAAGUUUCCAUUUUCUGAAGUUGUCGCAGAGAAGCCCUCUCCUGUCAGUAUGGAGAGUUUUGAUGAUGAGUUGGUAACAAGCGAUGUGGAGGUUGUUGAGGCUAGGGGGAGUAAUGUCGAUCAGUCUGAGGAAACACUAGCCUCACAGGACUCUGCAAUCAUUGAAGUUGGGCCAGAGGUUUCGAGUACUAAUGAACAAGACAAUGUAGCUCCAGUAGAAGCUCCAGCAAAUACUCCGCCGGAAACAGAGAGCUCGCUUGGUAGAGGACAAUGUGUUAAACAACCUUCUGUAAGGUUAAACGAUUACGUCACCUACAAGACAGCAUGCAGUAAUAGUACCCCUCACGUCCUCACCACCGAUCGCUCUUUCAGUGUCUACUUCGACCCUGUCUCAGGUAAUACUUUGUACCCACUUACUGAAUAUAUUUCAGAUGAACAAUUUUCUGGCGGACACAAAGCUUUUCUUGCAGCUGUUUGUGCUGAUAGUGAGCCUAAGAAUUUUAAAGAAGCUAUGCGUGAUAAGAGGUGGACAAAAGCUGUUUACAAAGAAGUUGAUGCACUAGAGGUCGCACACACUUGGAGCGUGGUUGAUUUGCCUCCUGGCCGAGUGGCUUUGGGAACAAUGUGGGUCUUUAAAAUCAAAUAUAAUGCUGACGGGACUGUGGAACGGUUCAAGACAAGGUUGGUGGUGCUUGGAAACCGCCAGAAAGCUGGUUGUGAUUAUGAUGAAACGUUUGCUCCAGUUGCAAAAAUGACUACGGUACGAAGCCUAUUGAAGAUAGUAGCUACUCAGGAUUGGGAGGUACAUCAGAUGGAUGUGCACAACGCUUUUCUCCAUGGUGAUUUGGAGGAAGAAGUGUAUAUCAAGCUUCCGCAGGGUGUCAAUAACUCAGAUCCAAACAAAGUGUGUCGGUUACAUAAAUCUCUUUAUGAACUAAAGCAAGCUCCUCGGUGUUGGUUUGAAAAGCUCACAAAGGCACUGAUCAAGGCAGGGUUUGUUCAAUCUCUGUCCGAUUAUUCUUUGUUCAUUUACUCACGUGGUACUGUUGAGAUUCGAGUGUUGAUUUAUGUGGAUGAUCUCAUUGUUUGUGGGAAUGAUGGUGAAGCAAUUACAAAGUUUAAAGGCUAUCUUGGUGAAUGUUUUCACAUGAAAGAUCUAGGGAGGUUGAAGUACUUUCUUGGAAUCGAGAUUGGGCGUAAUAAAGAAGGUUUUGUGCUGAGUCAAAGAAAGUAUGCUUUGGACAUUGUUAAGGAGACUGAUCAGGUUGAUUCAAAGCCUGUUGCAACUCCCAUGGAACAGAAUCAUCAUCUUGCUAGAGACGACAGCCCCUUCACGGCUGAACCGGCGCGUUAUAGACGUCUAGUAGGAAGGCUCAUCUACCUUACUAAUACGCGACCUGAUAUAUCUUACUCAAUACAUAUACUGUCUCAGUUCAUGCAGAAACCACGAGAAGGUCAUAUGGAAGCAGCACUGCGUGUGGUGCGGUUUCUCAAAGGGACAGUCGGGCAAGGGAUAUUGCUCAAAUCAGAAACGGAUCUGCAGGUCUCCAUCUACUGCGACGCUGAUUGGGCGGCGUGUCCACUAACUAGAAGGUCGUUGACUGCUUAUGUUGCCAUGAUAGGAGGUUCUCCAGUUUCUUGGAAAACAAAGAAACAGAAAGUAGUGUCGCAUUCUUCGGCCGAGGCAGAGUAUCGCGCCAUGUCUAUUGCAACUCAUGAGGUGCAAUGGCUGCGACAGCUCUUGAGGGAUUUGGGUUUCACGCAAAAAACUCCAUCUCGUCUUUAUUGUGAUAGUAAGUCCGCGAUAUAUAAAGCCACGAAUCCGGUAUUUCAUGAACGCACUAAACACGUAGAGAUCGAUUGUCAUCGUAUGCGUGAUGCUCUGAAGUCACGAGUGAUUACUGCAACACAUAUUGGUACUAAAGAGCAACUGGCGGACGUUUUAACAAAAGCUUUGGGGAAGGUUCAGUUCAAUCAUCUUAUGUCCAAGUUGGGCAUUUGUAGUACGCAUACUCCAACUUGAGGGGGAGUGUUGUGAUAAUGAGAUAAUGAUAUGUAAUAUUUAGAUAAUGAUGUAAAUAUUAAAGAGUUUAUCUCUAAUAUAGUCGGCUAAGUAGAUAAGGCCAAAGUCGAGUUGUAUAUACAGAGCUCCAAGCUCACGAUCAAUAACACAAAAUAUUCAGCAUUACUUUGCUUUACAAUGAUUGUUAUUCCAUCCUUUUGCUUAGUGGUAUAUUGAAUAAAUGCAUUGCUGUCUAUCUAAAAUAUGCUGUAAUCUUUCUGAAAACGUGUAUAGAAAAUAUAACAGUUUUAGCACAGAUCUGGACCACCAAAAAGUCAAUAUCAAAUUUCCCAUCUUGGUUGUGUACUCAUGACUCCAGUAAAUAAAAAGAAUGUAAGUUAAAAAAAAAGAAGAAGAAUGCAGCAUUUUCACACAGCAACAGAUAAAAUAAUCAAAGGAAACUAAAGAAGCAAUUAAGUUGCAUAGUCAAAUGUGCAUAUAUAUAUAAUCAAUGCACAUGGAAAUUGAAUUUUAAGAUCCCUUCAAAAUGGGAACUUCACAUGCAUGCCCAGAUAACAAAUUGUGAUUCAGAAAGUUAAACUUGCAACUCAAAACAGCCAAGUUGACCACGUGAAAACUGAAGUACAUAUGCAGAAACAAAAGAAGUACCUUUCAUUUGGUCAGGAACUCAUAACUAAUUGUAUCAUAAAUAGUUUAGUUAUAUUCAAAAGAUUAAAGUCAAACACUGUUGGCAUUUCAAAGGAUAAUUUUAUUAUUCUGAUAAUUUAGAUCGUUUAUCUCGGUAGGGCAAAGGGAGUUAGUUGGAUACAGUUGAAGGAUUUUGCUUUAUUUUUCGGUUCAAUUUUUUUUGGCUCAACUUCAACUUAUAUCAACCAAAUUUGAAUUGACAAUCUUAUCCAAUUUCUACAUUUUGAUCACAAAUACACAGUUAAGAUUGAUAUAUAUCACCUAAAAACAUUCAAAAGGCUAUCUACGCUACUCUAUCAAAACCUAUAGUGUGCACGAAAAAGACUUACAAAACAAAUUCAAAUACCCAGGGUUUAUUAUGAAGAUACAUUCCCAAUAAAAGUGGAAAAUGAAAAGGAGAAAUAAUUGUGUACCUUGUUGGAGUGGUGACGGCGAAAUCCAUCCAACGACUCUCAUUAGCUGUCCACUUAACAAUUCGACCAUCAGAUAAACCGGUGAAUGGACCGUCGCCGUAGAAAUCGAAGGCGAAACUCUCCGGUCCCAAAGCGCCGGUGGUAGGAAUCAGAUGGAAGUCAGGGAAAUGAACUGUCAACAUUGACUCUCCAUGUUUUGGACUCUCGCCAGAAGAAUCGAAGAGGCUUAAGAGAAGGGCAAAUGAUAUCGCCAACACAAAGAAGAGUUUCAUCAUUCUCCCUUUUCUUCCCACCCUAAACUGUGGCUUGUGGUAAGAGUGAUUAUUCUCUUAUAUAUAAACUAAUGUCAAAAUUAAUAAAUAGUUAUUCUUAUACAUGUCGACUUCGUGUCAAAAACUCAACACUAAAUAGUUAUAUUAUUGUAUUCUUGGGGUUCGUGGAUCAUGCAUUCGUCAUCAUGCAUUUGUUAGUUCAUAUGUUAAUUUUUUUCUGUUCAAACAUUUCUUUCUUACUGCUUUAUUAUGAAAGAUACAUUUCCUUCUUACUUACCAGACAUUCAUACAUGAUACUACUCACGUAACUAACAUUGUCAAGAUAAAAGUUUUGCCGUUUAUGGAAUGAGAUUACAAAGAAAUCAAACAAUAUAUUCUUCUAGUCUGCCUCAAUUCGUGUAUCAAUUAUGCAUAUAUGACAUAUAAAGUUUCAAUGAUUAUAUAUAAUUUGUCCGGACGAGGUAGUCCAAGUGGCAGGACGGGCCUGUGGUGGCAACCACCAUCCGGGUUCGAUUCCCUCCCCAUGCGGAAACUACCCUGCCUCUUCUGGACACCAAAGCGGUACUGGGUUCGAUCCAACCUAGGUAAAGUCCUCCCGGGUGAAGUGGACCGCUGUCUGACCGGACCCAGGGGAAUGACCCGCGAAGCGGGGAACCCCUGGAUUAUCAAAAAAAAAAUGAUUAUAUAUAAUAUGAUUAUUCAUUUCUAAAUUGUCUAUAAAUAAACAUUUAAACAAAAAAAAGUAAAAUUCAUACUCUCUCUGUUUUUAAUAUAAGUCGUUUUAUAAUUGUGCACGUAGAUUAAGAAAAUCAUUAUUUUUUUAUAUUUUCUAAACAAAAACAUUAUUAAUUAUUUACCUAACCACAAAUCAACCAAUAAUAAAAUAGAAUGUAUAUUAUCAUUGGUCAUAUAACAUUAAGUGUUAAUAAAUUUUACAUAGAAAAACGAAAACGUCAUAUAAUUUGAAACAAAAAAAUUUCUUUAAAACGAUUUAUAUUAAAAAAACGGAAGGAGUAUUAUAUUUCUCUUAUUAAAACAAAAACAUUCACUUGGACCCAAUUAUUUUUGUAAGAUUUUAAAUUAAAUAUAUCCUUAUACUAUAAAGUUAUACCCACAUGUAUCUAUUAAAUUAUUCCUUCCUUAUAAGUUGAAUGUUUUAGGAAAUAAAAUAACCAACACUUUUAAUUAUAUAUUUUUAUUUCUUUACAAACCAACAUUUUUUAGAUAUAUCUAUUAAUUAGCUUUUUUUUUGAAUCAAAACCUGCCCAACCGAAUGCAUAUAUAUAAUAAAAUUAUUUUAAUAACUAAUGUAAGUACGUGGAAGCCUCCUUGGUCCAGUGGUUUGAUUAAUGGUUCAUUAAUGCUUCUACACCAUGAGGUCUGGGGUUCAAAUUAUGCAGAUUCCGGCGAAAAAAAGUUACAACAGGUUUAAAAUAAAAAACUAAUCUAAGUACAUGUUUUCUGUAAUUUAUUUUUUAAUAAAAUUGAAAACAUGACCCGCUCGGAUACGCCAGUCCAGAUCUAGUUAGAUGGAGUAUGUUUGUGAUUUUUUAUGCAUAGUAUACAUGUAGAUGGUAUGAUUGCUUACAAAACGCCGGAGAUCGAGGGAUCACAUUUAGAUCAUUGUAUUAAAAGUAGAUAUAUUUUGCGUAUUCUCUGUAAUUUUCCCCAAAAAAUUCUGCAGAUUUGAUGUUUAUCUAAUUAGCAUCAGUUUUACAGGUUUGGGUAAAGUAAUGUUAUUCGACGACCAAAACAAAUUAUAUAUGGAAAAUUAACAUUUUCCUUACACAGAAAAUUAAACGUUGAAUGAGGAAGAAUGGAAGAGGUAAAAGACAAAAAUACAUUUAUAUCAUAGCAUUAACUAAUCUAGAUUUAAGGUUUAGAAUUAAAGAGUUGAAUUUUGAAAAUAUGAUUUCAAAUUAAAAAAAUAGAACAUUUAUAUUAAAAUUUUCAAAAUAAAAAUGAUUAUUUUGGUUAUUUUUCUAAUUAAAUACUAUUUUUGUGACAAAAAAAAAUUAAAAUGGUUACUUGAGAAAAUUGCUCAAAUUUAAACAUUUAAAACCAAAAAUAAUAUAAAACCACAACGCGAUCAAUAUCUUAAUACUUACAUUUUAUUUUGUAACAAAAAAUAAAUGUUUUUUUGUUCACCAAAUAAUAAAUGCUUUUGUUUGAUUUUUUAGGCAUAAAUAAAACAUAAUUUUUUAAUGAUAAUAAUUAUAAUUAUAAUAAUUAAAAAAAGACAAAGGAGGUUGGAGGAGGUGAAUCGCAGGAGAAGGGGGGCAAUGGACAGAAAAAGAAAAGGCAUGCAGCCCCACUCAGCAACCUAUUCGUUUUUUUGGUAAAAACAUCCUAUUCGUUGUGUUGCCUUCUGAAUUCUGACCAUUUUAAAAUUUUUGUUUGCCAUCAAACCCAUCCAAACAAACAAUGCCAUAAACAUCAGAGUCAAUUAAAGGAAAUAAUCAUAUAAAAGAAUGUGACAACCAUAUUAGUAGAAGAGAACAAGAAUGUGACCACAUAUUGUUUACAAGUAUCCCGUUUUUAUCUUGUCUAUUAUGGUUAGUGGUCUGAACUGCACAGGCUGGUCAUAAGCCUCGCACCUUUUCAGAUUGGUUUAUGAACUUCAGAUUUUAUUUUGAACUUCGAAAAUUAUAUAUCAUGGGAUUAUAAGUAUACAAACAUAUACAGAAAAGGUAUACAAACACAUAAAAGAAGCUUUGGCCUACCAGAAUAUAUUCUGAUAUAGAAGUAAUAGCCAACAUAAAUAAGAAUUUGAAACUGAAAAUUUCGUUUCUUACAGUGAAUGUGUCAACAGUGCCAUGCGAAAGCGCAUAGUAUCAUCCUUUGCUAGUUCAAUUGCUAUUCGGUUAUCUAAAUUAUGCGUUUUAAAUUGGCACUUUUUUGUUCCAUCAUGAGAUAUUCCUCUCUUUGAGCUUGUAGAUAGGAUUUAACAAUUUACUUAUUAGUUGAAUAUAUUAACAUUAAAACCCGAAAAUACUCGAAAAUAUAAUCAAAUUGAAUAAGCCUUUCUUCAAAAAAAAAAAAAAAUCAAAUUGAAAGAAAAAAAUGGAAGUGAACCAUAGGGAAAUCAAAAUCUCCUUUAACAAAAGAGGAAGCCAACAUUUCAGUAAAUUAUAAAACCAAAAGUCUUGAAAGGCUUUAUAAGUUUAAGAGCAAACCUAACCGGAUACCGCAAAUACUUUUUAUAAACUAAUUAUCAAAUCUACACACAUGGGAAAAUGACAGUGUAGGAGCACAAUAGAUUCUAUAAUGACGGUACAGAUUUAAAACAGUUCAAGGAAGCCGUAACUUUAGAUCACUGACGAUCGAGAACCCAAACAGAAGGCAGAAACACAGACCCAAACCAAAGCUUACCAUCUCUCUCUUGAACCUCACUUACGAAUUUCAUAUUCUUCCCUUCACUAUCCUCAAGAACCUCCAUAACCUCACCGGUCUUGCCGCAGAGCUUCACGGCACCUGCAUGAGGCUUUCCUCCUUCAAAUAGAAAAACCAACAGGUCCAUAUUCAACGUUUUCAUGAAAAACUUCCCAAUCCACGGAUGCAUCAACGAAAGCCUAGAAAACGGAGUUUUCUUAGAAUGCAAGGCAACCCAAAAAUCCCCUGUCUCGGUCCUCCUGAUGUUAUCAGCGUAGCCCGGGAGCUUAGCGAAUAUGUCGCGGGUCCCUGCUUUAGGUCCUUUGACCCAAUAUCGAUGAACAAGUUGCGUUGGAACCUCACAGGAAAGCACGAACGAACCAUCUUUGCUUAUGGCAAGACCAUUAGGGAAAUGUAGACCGUCCAUUAUAACUUUGGCCUCUUUUGUCUUCUUGUCAUAUCGAAUCGCUCUUCCCGUCUUUUCGCCACACAGAAACGCGUAGAAUACGUCCCUGAUCCAUGCACGAACGUAAUAAUUUUAGCAUAUGUCGACAGAAAGUAAAUUUAUACGUUUUACUAAUAACUUGGUAAAAAAAAAAAACUUGGUAAAAAAGAAAAGUGGAUUUUUCUUUGGGUUUACAUGUUAUAAUGAAACCAAAAAUUAGUACUUAAAUAUAUAAUUUCUUGUUUUGAAAAGCUCAUGAUAUCAUUGCAUCACCAUUAUAUUCCAAUAUAUACAUUGAUGCGAGCAAUGCUUUUGUGGACCAUAAGUAAUUUUUCUGCCUAUGGGAUGUUGUCUAGAUGGACUACACAUGGGAGAUUAACUUGUACAUAUUGUAAUGGAACGACAUAUGCGUUUCAACUGAAGAAUGGUAGGAAGACAAGUUGGUUUGAUUGUCACCCUCGAUUUCUUCCCAUUGGCCAUCCUUACCGAAGAAACAAGAAUUUUUUUAGGCACAAAAGGGUUGUGAGAGACACUCCUCCUCCAUACCUAACUGGAGAACAAAUUGAAGCGCAAAUCGACUACUACGGAGCUAACGAAACAGUUCGUUGGGGUGGUAAUUGGCAUGUCCCUCGUAAUAUGCCAGAUUCUUACACGCGAAGGCGAAAGUUCGCUUGUUGGACACAGUUUCCAACUGGAAGGGUGACUGGAUCGUGAAGGGGUAUGAGCGUGGCAACCCCGCUGAGCUCACCACGGAUGUGUGGGAUGGCCUCAUCCGUUAUUGGCGUCUUCCUGAUUCUAUUAGAAUCGCCCAGUCUUGCCCUAACUCCCGUAACACGGUCGAUGAGCACGGAAACGGGCCGAUGCUUUAUGGAACGACUACUGCCUUUUGCAUUUGAGGAGCUACUUCCAACAAACGUACAUGAAGCACUUGCAAGUACGUAGUGUACAUGAAGAGGGUGAGGAAGAAGUUUAACGCGAAGGCGAAAGUUCGCUUGUUGGACACAGUUUCCAACUGGAAGGGUGACUGGAUCGUGAAGGGGUAUGAGCGUGGCAAACCCGCUGAGCUCACCACGGAUGUGUGGGAUGGCCUCAUCCGUUAUUGGCGUCUUCCUGAUUCUAUUAGAAUCGCCCAGUCUUGCCCUAACUCCCGUAACACGGUCGAUGAGCACGGAAACGGGCCGAUGCUUUACACUACGGGCCAAACACCCCACGCCGGUAUCCGUUUGCAAAUGGUAAUUAAAUAUUUUAUUAAAUAAAAUUUUUAAUAGAUAUUUUUAUUCUAACUUUCUUAUUUUUAAUAAAUAUUUUUAUUUUUUGGGACAUCUCCCGUCUCUUAUGGAACUUUACGAGAGGACCCACAAGAACAAGGCGAGCGUAUUUGUAGAUGGCAAGUCCGAGCAAAUCUACAACGACGUGGUUGCUCGGGUUGAAGACCGCCAGACUCAGCUGACCCAGCAGUCUACCGACGGAUUACCCGUCACCUUAUCCACACUUGAAGUGGAUAAGAUUUACGAGGAGGUAAAUUUUCAAAAAUUUUAAUUUUUUAUUAUUCAUUUAAUUUAACUUUAAAUUUUUACUAACAAUAUUUAUUUUUUGUUUUUAAGGUUGUCCCUAAAAAAAAGGGACGGACGUUGGGGAUUGGUUCCGUCAACGAUGUUCCGAGAGCGACAUCGUCUUAUGGUCAGCGACGGGAUGAUGAAGUCACUGAGCUGCGUAACGAGUUGGCCGCGACAAAAUCUCGUAUGGGUGGAGUCGAGGGCUUCUUGGACGUUAUAGUGGCCACAAAUCCGGAAUGGGAGUCCAUGUUGAGGAACAUGCAACAACAACAUCCCAUUCAAGGCGAGUCAUCCGACAUACAUAACGAGGCGGAUGUUGCAAGGAGGAGUGAUGAAUUCUACCAGGCGAUGAACAACCCUUAGUUCUUUUUUUCCGGUUGUUGUAUUAUAAAUUCAAAAUUAUUUAUAUAUAAAAUAUUUUUGUAUUGAUUUAUUUUUAUUCUAAAUUAUAAUUUUUUUAAUGAAUUAAAUAAAUUUAAUUAUUUUUUUAAUUAUAUUUUUAAAUUCUGUAAAAUAAUAAAAACAAAGUAAAUUCGUAGCUAAUGUACGACCUAUUUACGUGGAAACCUUACGAGGAAAUGACGAGAAAAAAUAAACGAGUAUUUUACGAGAAAACAUUUACGAGGAAAUGACGAGGAAAGAUAAACGAGUAUUUUACGAGAAAAUACAUUCGUGGUAGUUACGUGUAUUUUGCGAGAAAACACUUUCAAGGUAUUUACGUGUAGUUUACGAGGAACUCGUUUCGAGGUAUUUACGAGGAAAUAUAAUGACCUCCUUACGUGGAAUAUUUACGUGGUCUUUACGACGAAAUGAUGUACUUCGUCUUUACGACAAAAUAUUUUCCUCGCUAAGUUACGAUGAAUUGGCGAGGAAAUAUGUGUUACGACGGAUGAGUAACGAGCAAACGUGUUUCCUCGCUAAUUCGUCGUAAAGCCUCUUUAACGACGAACUCACGAGGAAAACCGCCCUCGUUAAGCUUAUGUUUUCUUGUAGUGACUUUAUUAUUGACUGGACUCUCCUAUACUCGGAAUUGCAGGUGGUUCGAUCCCCUAAAGUAAAGGCAAGCGCAUAGGCUAUAGAAUCCAAAAUAGAGCUCCUUCGGCUCUAAACUGCUACUGUGCUUAUUUGGUCUAUCAGCAACUCGGCCAGCUACUGACCUAAUUGGUAACUUUUCAGUCAAGGUAUGGAUCACUCACUUCUGAGUCUUUUUGUUGCAGACAAGCUGCUUUGGUCUCACUCCUAGCUUUUCUUAUCGAAAGGAAAAAAGAAGGAUCGUCUCACUCCAGUCAAAUAUGUAUGUGGUUGGGAACUUUCUGUGCUGUUAUGAUUCCAUGAUCUUCAUCGCCACCUCUGUCCUAUAACGCUUUCCUUUAUAGCAGUUAUUGCUCCGGUUCCUGAAGGUAUAGCUCUUGCCGAGGAAUUCCUUUGAAAUCGGAGACUGUUCAAAUUUCCUACUGAGAUAGGCAAGCGAAGGGAGAACUAGAGGUAUCUUGCUAGGCAAAGAAGGUUAGAAUGUAUAGCUCGCGGGUGGGAUUGUCUCACACCGCCUAACAUGAGAAAUAUCCUUUUGGAGAACCAUUAACCAAGACAGAGAGCUUGACAGCGUCGAGGUGCUUUAGCAACUCGACUGAAAGGAGAGGAACCACACCCAUGACUAGCUUGUUUCUGCUUGUUCGUUCGCUUGUAGGUUGCUACGCUGUUUUGCGAGUCAUUCCAUUCUCUUCCCUUAAACUACUACGUGAGGAUCGGAGGGUCGCUACGAGAUUCCUUUCUUCUUAUCUUAAUAGGAACGUAGGGCGUGUUAUGGCUUGAACCCUUUCGAAAAGGUCAGGGCGAAGGGCAUCCAACCAAGCAACAAGGAAAAUUACGAGAACAGAACAAAAGAAGAAAAUACCAAUUCAAUUUGAAUGGAUUCAAAACAAGGUUACUGUAUGGAUCUAGAUUAAAAAUUCUUCUGUUUUCAUCUAUUAAAUAAGAGUGAAUUAUUUGAAAAAUAUAUUUGAAGUUAUCAAGUUGCAAAUAUUUAAUUAAACAGAUCUGACGUGACGCGAAUAAUAAGCGUGUAAUCAUUGUCAAAAGCUAAUACCUAUUGUGGGAUAUGCCCUGUAGGCAGGAGUAAGAAGGUCAGCUAGGAAAUCAACAGAUAACAACAACAACGGAGGGAAUGAGUUCCUCCGGCAUCUAGGUAGAACCUUCCAGAAAACCGGGAAAGUAGGGCAUCAUAUAGUAAAGUAGGACUACUCCCAGAAUCUAUAAUUGUCGCAAAAAGUCCAAUAUACAUACAUUAUUGGAUCUUUUGAAUAACAGUCUAGAAGACCUUAUCAAAAUGGAACAUUUUCACAUAGAAGAUGUAAAAAAGAUUUUAGACAUUUUAGAAAAAAAUAAAAAAGGCAUAAAAAAAAAAUUGAUUACAUUGAAAAAAAAAUUUAAUUUUUGGUAGAGCACAACAUGUGAUGUUCCAAAUAGAACUGUACCACAAGAAAAGAAGAAAAA